rnacentral:lncRNA from 10 species
ACUUGGCAAGAUAGCUCUGGAAGAUAGCUCCAGCUCAGGAAGAAGACCCUGCAGCCCAUUUCCUUUCAAAAGGCAGAGAUGAACAUUUUCCCUGGCCGUCUUGAAAUAGUCUCACUGUCGUUCAGGCUGGAGUACAAUGGCACGAUCUUGGCUCACUGCAACCUCCGCUUCCCAGGUUCAAGCAAUUCUCCCACCUCGGCCUCCUGAGUAGGUGGGAUUACAUGCACCCAUCAUCAUGCCUGGCUAAUUUUUAUAUUUUUUGAGAUAGGAUUUCACCAUGUUGGCCAGGCUGGUCUUGAACUCCUGACCUCAGGUGAUCCGCCUGCCUUUGCCUCCCAAAGUGCUGGGAUUACAGGCGUGAGCCACCGCGCCCUGCCUAAAAUUUUAACUUUUGUUUUCUUUUCCACUCGAGUCUAUCCUCUAUUCAUCACCUCAGGGUAAGGAUAAAACAGAAAAGAGAGAAAAACAAGAAUCUCGGCUCCUUAUAAAUUUCUUGAUUAAAGCUUGAGACUUAUACCUGGCACAUAGAUAAAUAGUUCAGUGACAAUUCUGUUAACAAAUGUUCUCUCCAACACUUUCAUGUGCUUUUAAAUUCGUG